rnacentral:rRNA from 1 species
ACGGGUGAGUAACGCGUGGGAACGUGCCUUUCGGUUCGGAAUAACUCAGGGAAACUUGAGCUAAUACCGGAUACGCCCUUCGGGGGAAAGAUUUAUUGCCGAAAGAUCGGCCCGCGUCCGAUUAGCUAGUUGGUGUGGUAAUGGCGCACCAAGGCGACGAUCGGUAGCUGGUCUGAGAGGAUGAUCAGCCACACUGGGACUGAGACACGGCCCAGACUCCUACGGGAGGCAGCAGUGGGGAAUAUUGGACAAUGGGCGCAAGCCUGAUCCAGCCAUGCCGCGUGAGUGAUGAAGGCCCUAGGGUUGUAAAGCUCUUUCGCCAGGGACGAUAAUGACGGUACCUGGAUAAGAAGCCCCGGCUAACUUCGUGCCAGCAGCCGCGGUAAUACGAAGGGGGCUAGCGUUGUUCGGAAUCACUGGGCGUAAAGCGCACGUAGGCGGAUCUUUAAGUCAGGGGUGAAAUCCCGAGGCUCAACCUCGGAACUGUCUUUGAUACUGGAGGUCUCGAGUUCGGGAGAGGUGAGUGGAACUGCGAGU